UACGUAGGGGGCAAGCGUUGUCCGGAAUCAUUGGGCGUAAAGGGCGCGUAGGCGGCCUGUUAAGUCGAACGUGAAAUCCCCGGGCUCAACCCGGGAACUGCGUCCGAUACUGGCAGGCUUGAAUCCGGGAGAGGGAUGCGGAAUUCCAGGUGUAGCGGUGAAAUGCGUAGAUAUCUGGAGGAACACCGGUGGCGAAGGCGGCAUCCUGGACCGGCAUUGACGCUGAGGCGCGAAAGCCAGGGGAGCAAACGGG
rnacentral:rRNA from 1 species